GAUGAACGCUGGCGGCGUGCUUAACACAUGCAAGUCGAACGAUUAAAGCCCCUUCGGGGGUGUAUAGAGUGGCGAACGGGUGAGUAACACGUGGGCAACCUGCCCUGUGCUUCGGGAUAACUCAAGGAAACUUGAGCUAAUACCGGAUACUCCGGACUGACCGCAUGAUCGGUCCGGGAAAGUUCCGGCGGCACAGGAUGGGCCCGCGGCCCAUUAGCUAGUUGGUGAGGUAACGGCCCACCAAGGCGACGAUGGGUAGCCGAGCUGAGAGGCUGAUCGGCCACACUGGGACUGAGACACGGCCCAGACUCCUACGGGAGGCAGCAGUGGGGAAUAUUGGACAAUGGGCGCAAGCCUGAUCCAGCCAUGCCGCGUGAGUGAUGAAGGCCUUAGGGUUGUAAAGCUCUUUUGUCCGGGAAGAUAAUGACUGUACCGGAAGAAUAAGCCCCGGCUAACUUCGUGCCAGCCGCCGCAGUAACAC
rnacentral:rRNA from 1 species